rnacentral:rRNA from 1 species
UUGACCUCGGAUCAGGUAGGAAUACCCGCUGAACUUAAGCAUAUCAAUAAGCGGAGGAAAGUCGGAUUAACGCGAUC